rnacentral:tRNA from 2 species
GCUUCCAUAGCUCAGUGGCAGAGCACUUCCAUGGUAAGGAAGGGGUCGUCGGUUCAAUCCCGACUGGAAGCU